GGGGAAUUUUGGACAAUGGGCGCAAGCCUGAUCCAGCCAUGCCGCGUGCGGGAAGAAGGCCUUCGGGUUGUAAACCGCUUUUGUCAGGGAAGAAAAGGUUCUGGCUAAUACCUGGGACUCAUGACGGUACCUGAAGAAUAAGCACCGGCUAACUACGUGCCAGCAGCCGCGGUAAUACGUAGGGUGCAAGCGUUAAUCGGAAUUACUGGGCGUAAAGCGUGCGCAGGCGGUUAUGCAAGACAGAGGUGAAAUCCCCGGGCUCAACCUGGGAACUGCCUUUGUGACUGCAUGGCUAGAGUACGGUAGAGGGGGAUGGAAUUCCGCGUGUAGCAGUGAAAUGCGUAGAUAUGCGGAGGAACACCGAUGGCGAAGGCAAUCCCCUGGACCUGUACUGACGCUCAUGCACGAAAGCGUGGGGAGCAAACA
rnacentral:rRNA from 1 species